AAGGUUAUAAUUAUUCAAGAUUAUGACCUUAGUAAUAUUUGAACUUGAGGCUAUGAUCAUAAGAAACAUGAUAGAUAUAAAAAAAAUUUAAUAAUUAGAUUUCGAAUCAAUAGAUACGAUGAUGAAAUUUAUGCAUAAGUGACAUAUAAUGUCCAUAAUAAAAUUGACGAGUUAUAUCUUGGAUUUCAAUUAGUAAGAUUGACCUA
rnacentral:lncRNA from 1 species